rnacentral:rRNA from 1 species
GUCCACGCCGUAAACGUUGGGCGCUAGGUGUGGGGAACCUUCCACGUUCUCCGUGCCGUAGCUAACGCAUUAAGCGCCCCGCCUGGGGAGUACGGCCGCAAGGCUAAAACUCAAAGGAAUUGACGGGGGCCCGCACAAGCGGCGGAGCAUGCGGCUUAAUUCGAUGCAACGCGAAGAACCUUACCUAGGCUUGACAUAUACCGAAAACUCAUAGAGAUAUGGGGUCCGCAAGGGCGGUAUACAGGUGGUGCAUGGUUGUCGU